GACGAACGCUGGCGGCGUGCUUAACACAUGCAAGUCGAACGGUAAGGCCCUUCGGGGUACACGAGUGGCGAACGGGUGAGUAACACGUGGGUGAUCUGCCCUGCACUUCGGGAUAAGCCUGGGAAACUGGGUCUAAUACCGGAUAGGACCACUGCCUGCAUGGGUGGUGGUGGAAAGCUUUUGCGGUGUGGGAUGGGCCCGCGGCCUAUCAGCUUGUUGGUGGGGGGAUGGCCUACCACGGCGACGGCGGGUAGCCGGCCUGAGAGGGUGACCGGCCACACUGGGACUGAGAUACGGCCCAGACUCCUACGGGAGGCAGCAGUGGGGAAUAUUGCACAAUGGGCGCAAGCCUGAUGCAGCGACGCCGCGUGAGGGAUGACGGCCUUCGGGUUGUAAACCUCUUUCAGCACCGACGAAGCGCAAGUGACGGUAGGUGCAGAAGAAGGACCGGCCAACUACGUGCCAGCAGCCGCGGUAA
rnacentral:rRNA from 1 species